GAUGAACGCUAGCGGCAGGCCUAACACAUGCAAGUCGAGGGGUAGAACACUUCGGUGUUUGAGACCGGCGCACGGGUGCGUAACGCGUAUGCAAUCUACCUUGUACAGGGGAAUAGCCCAGAGAAAUUUGGAUUAAUGCCCCAUAGUAUAUAACCUUCGCAUGUUGGUUAUAUUAAAGUUCCAACGGUACAAGAUGAGCAUGCGUCCCAUUAGUUAGUUGGUAAGGUAACGGCUUACCAAGACGAUGAUGGGUAGGGGUCCUGAGAGGGAGAUCCCCCACACGGGGACUGAGACACGGACCAGACUCCUACGGGAGGCAGCAGUGAGGAGUAUUGGUAAAUGGGCGCAAGCCUGAACCAGCCAGGCCGCGUGCAGGAAGACGGUCCUAUGGAUUGUAAACUGCUUUUAUACAGGAAGAAACCCUCCCACGUGUGGGAGAUUGACGGUACUGUAGGAAUAAGGAUCGGCUAACUCCGUGCCAGCCGCCGCUGUAAUAC
rnacentral:rRNA from 1 species